GGGUGUAGCACGUGAACCGGCAUGCAGGCUGAAUGUUGACUCCGGCCAACAGGAGGCGCUACAAGCCCAUUUAGGCUGAAUUUAGUACCCCCGUGGAAGCGUGUGGGAGUGGUGAGAAAGGGAAGUGCAUAAAAGAGCAUGCCACUAGUUUAAAUGGACGCGUGCUUUGAAGAAGUUGUGCGCACGGCCGUGCGGGGACAUUAAAGACGGUGAUCUCGGCAGUAACGGCAGUGCGUGAAUUUUGAGAGCUGCGGAUGCCGAUGACUCAUCGCGUGUGUGAUUACAACUUUAAUCAAUGGUAAGCACAUAUUUAAACGGGUCGGCAGGUGGGACAAAUUAUCAGUUAUGUGUGAUUCAUGUUGAACUACCUUUAUGAUACAGAGCCCCACGUUGGUGACGGCGAUCUGUUGUGAAAACAAUCAAAAGCACGACGACCAAAAAUAGACAGCGCAAGGUAUCAGCUACUCACUACAAUUACACACACCUGACACUUCAUGAUUGACAAUAAUUUGGAGGAAGUUUGAAAAGAAUGUUUUAUUUUGUGUUAUAAUGAAUUGUUGUGGUGUAUUUCAGAGCUGUUUUCUCGAGUGUAUGUGCCGUUUUUUCCUCCUGCUUUUCCAUUACACACCUCCAAGCCACAUUAGCAGUUUAUAAAGUCGUUUGUGGGUUAUAUAUAUUGUUUUAUAAUAGGUACGACAGCGGGAAUUACGGUAUUGGUAAAACGAUAGUCGCCCCUACCGUCUGUGUCCAAUAGAGCCUACAAAGAAAGGGGGCUCCGUGGCGGAUCAUUUCGGUUACAUCAUUGUUUUGAGUUUGCUGUGCCGUGAAUCGUUUUAUUGGAGUGCAGUGAAUUACUUUAUUGAAGUGAGGUGUUUUAAUUGAUGUAAAGUGAUCUGUGCCUACAUUGUGAAAGACAAGUUGAACCCUAGAAUGGGCUAUUAUUGGGGGUCCAGGACGACUUUUGAGGAAGCCAUUACUUUAAUGCCGCUUGUUUAAUUUUAUUUUGUUCAAUAAAUUGUUAUUUUUUACUACACCAGUCCUUUCUUGUGAAUUAUGUGAACCAUAGUGGGGGCGAAUUCAGGGCUACACCCUCACCAUAUUACAAUUACAAAUGGACAGAUGAAUCUGCAGUAGUGGGAAAAAAAUCAGCUGAAGGUAAAGUAAAGGGGACACGAAGACGUAUAUGCGCACUUGUUUGUGAUUCACAUUUUUAUUGACUUUGGAAUGCUGUAUAAACGUUUGCUUAUCUAGUUUCCUAUUUUUUUCGGGACUUUGAACACAUCGUUUACGUGUUGAAUGUUUUUAUUGGGGAAGUAGAGGUCUACAAUUCCCUGCUAGCCAACCAGAUCGGAUAAGCAAUUUUGUACGGUUGAAAUUCACAUGGAAAAACUAAACUGAAGGAGACGUAGCGCGAGAGCGGGAAGGAGAUAAAAGGGCGUUCGAGGAUUUGGUCAGAAGGAGCCUCAAUCGAUUUAGUUGGCCCUACAAGACAACUAAAUCGCUGCCAUUGACUCUAAGUUAAGACCCUCGUACAGCUUUUUACAACCGUGAGUGUUGUUCUCCCGACGAGAGGCAAAGCUGGCGUGCGUGUGAGAGGAAGAGGGAUUCUACCAAGUUUCUGACAAGUACGGUGUUCAAGCGAAAGGCCUACUUCCUGAAGGAACCACGCGAGUUGGGAAAGCUAAAGGCUCCAAAGGAGUUGGAAAAUAUUUGUCAUUCAGGAUUUUUAAUACUUCUGAACUGUGAGUACUCAAAAUGAUUUCCUGUGGCUUUACAACUGAGCUCCAACAAGCACGUCAACGAGUGGUACCACAUUUAGAACGGUCAAAAUCCAGUGUGCUAGGAGAGAUUUGAUAUACUGUAUGUAUAUUUUUUUCUUCAUUGAAAAUAUUGUGAAUGAGUAGUUCUUUAAGAAAGGUGUUUUAGUAAUUCUUUGUGACUACUUGUUAUUUGACAUUUAUGCAGGGAAUGUUACUCCUACAAACAGUAUCUAAUCUGGCCUCUCUGCAUCCAAGGCAACAUCAUAUAUUUACAUGAAGUUCCCGAACGUUCCAAUAGCUUACUGCACGAAUGCUAUUUUUAGACCGCGAGGCUGCGUGACAUCACCAUCAUAAACCGGAAGGGGGUCAACAUAGAAGCGCGCUCGCGUACAACCCAUGCUAGUACUGCUUUUUUUUCUGUCGGCAAUCUUUCAAAAAAGAACAUGCAGAGUAAACACUGCUGCUAUGGAACUUGUAGAAACAACUCUAGACAUUACGACCGUCCACAUAUGAAGGAUUCCCCCCCCCCCAUAAGUUUCCCAAAGCCAAAAACCCAAAGGAGGAAAAAAAUUGAACAAUAGAUCAACUUGUGAAGACAUCCAAAAGACCAGUUGAAUGCCAGCAAAGUGAAGCCAUUCACCUUCAUAUGUAGUAAACAUUUUGUUGGAGGCCAUGGUCCUACGGAUGACACUUUUGAUCCAUAGCCUGCCCAGAAGAGGUAAGCCAUUUUUAUAUUUUUACUUAUUGUUCAGCGUGGCGUUUUGUCAUGCUGCUACUGUCUGACAGUGAAUGACCUGUAAAAAAUUUACAUUUCAUUUAUAUAUCUCAACUGUCAUGAAGGCCUGUUAUUCUAAAAUACGGAUAUUUAAAUAAACUAGCCAUGUUUGGCCUUGGUCGUUUAGUAGUAAGCCUGUUCAUGCCUACGGGUAGGCUCUAGAUUGAACAGCUUUACCUUUUCUGUUGUAAAGAAACAACCUUAGUAUGGGGGAAGUGUAAAUAAAUGAAUACAGUUAAGAUUUGUUAUUAAUGAAAAAACUAAGUCUUCGUUGGCUGUCACUCAGUAGCAUUUGGGAUUGCUAGACCAAAAUAGCAACACAGUAUAAAUUGACCCCCAAGAACGGUCAGAUAUGUACUAAGACAACCAGGGAUAUAAUAUAUAAGAAAGACAGGGCAUAUGGUGGUAAAGGAUAGCUUGUUGAAACAGGAGAAUGUCAUCGCCAGUGGCGUGAGGCAAUGCACACAAAAAAAAAGUGUCGAAAAAAAUACUACCCCUGAAUCAGGUCUGCUCAUUUUCCCGUCUUUUUCAGCCCUCAACACUCAAGCUAUCUCUUCAACUGAACAUUUAUAUGUUCUUCCACAUCUUUACCAGUGAAUUUGGCACCAGGGACAUCAUUUUCAGACAGAAUUGAACCUGUUGCAGGGCGCACACGUUGGGCCUGAAUGAAUAGGAUUAAAGGAGAGACGGGAAGGAAAGAAAAGCUGUUGAAAGACGGGACGACCAGGAAUGCUGACAAAUGAUGUUAACAAAGGAAGCGCGCAGUUGUGCAUUCACUUUUAAUUUUAUGUCAGGAACAUGCACACACUUUUGAAUACCAUUUUGCCGAUUUAAAUUCAUCAGAUAAAAUUUUAACAUGGAAAAAGAAAUCCCUCUUUUUUUAUCAAUGAGUUAGUUUACAAUUUUUUUUUUUUACAUUAAAACACAUUUGAAACAGUUGUUUUGGCCACUUUGCAUUUGAUUUCCCAUUUCACAAUUACGAGGCCACUUGAAAAUCCAUCUCUUCAAUAAAAAACAAACUUUUUGAUCAUCAACUUUAACUUCAGAAACUUUUUUGUCACGUCCAAAUGAAAAAUUGAGUGCUAUAUUUGGUUUUUAAAAAAAAUUAACUAUUUUUCCCAUCCAUGAAGCUAAAUUAAAACAUGCAGUUUUUUAUUUGGUGUGAUGAAUAUUUUAAUGUUUACCAUGUCAUUUUUAGAAAAUUGUAUAUAAUUGCAUCACUUUUCAUUCUGAAAAUCAAUUUUCCCACCAAAGUUAUCAUUUUUUUAAUUAGUAAGCGGGCAAAAUUUAGGAUAAACUCUAAAAUAGAUUUACUCAAAUAUUGAUGGGAUCGCCCCGAGGAAAAUGUGUUUUCAACAAUAAAUUAUUAAAAGGUAGCAAACUAUUGUUCUUACCCUUCGUUACGGGCCCUGAUGCGGCUGUGGCUAACGAUCUUAUCGUAGGCCGACGCGUCGACGGCGGCUCGCCAGCAUAGCGCCGCCAACAGGAAGGCGGCCGCCAUCGCCCCGUGCGUCCCGGGAGUCGUCAUGACGCGCGCGCGAUCUUGCAACUCAAUGUGUGCGCGCCAGUGGGCCGGCCGCCUCUUUUAUAAGACGCUCAUACGAGGCCUUGCCCCUCUCCCCCAUUCCACCCCACCCGAGAUUAGUGACUCAGCUCGUCCACGUUGGGUCGUCGCCCCUCCCUUCGCGGUCGACACCUCCAUCACAUCCCGGAGCACCCGGAACGCCGUGGCGCCAGAAAAAACAUUGUUUCCAGAUAUGUUAUUGGCUGUUAUUUCCUCCACAUCUCAUAGGUGACUAGUCGUGACGUUACCACGCGGGGCAGGUGGGGCAGUGCCCCGUCGGCAUUUUUUUGUUGAAUUCAGACUUGA